UAGCAAACGUGUUAAUUAACUCUAAUUACACAGCACACAGCGACUUCUCCAAGGACUUUUACUUCAGAUCUGCAUGUAAAUGUUCCCCCACUCAUCUUAAUCACACCAGGCAGCUAAUUAAUUGAAUGUGAAUAGUUCUGCAAAUUAUCCAAUUAUGCAAAUUUCCCUGGACACUAUCAGACCAGAAGGGAGGAAGGAUCACUCACUAAGAUUUUGUUCUUAAGAGAUUUAAGAAGGACAAAGAGGGAAAAGAGGAGGUGAAGGAAAAAAGAAGAAAAGAAGAGGAAGAAGAUGAAGAUGAUAAUGAUAAUGUGACUGGCUUUAACCGGUUAAUAAGAAUGUAAAAAAAAAUUAAAAAGAAUGUCAAGAUUUUCAAUAGCAGC
rnacentral:lncRNA from 1 species